rnacentral:rRNA from 1 species
CGUUAGCGGCGGACGGGUGAGUAACACGUGGGUAACCUACCUAUAAGACUGGGAUAACUUCGGGAAACCGGAGCUAAUACCGGAUAAUAUUUCGAACCGCAUGGUUCGAUAGUGAAAGAUGGUUUUGCUAUCACUUAUAGAUGGACCUGCGCCGUAUUAGCUAGUUGGUAAGGUAACGGCUUACCAAGGCGACGAUACGUAGCCGACCUGAGAGGGUGAUCGGCCACACUGGAACUGAGACACGGUCCAGAAUCCUACGGGAGGCAGCAGCA